rnacentral:rRNA from 1 species
UGGGGAAUUUUGGACAAUGGGCGAAAGCCUGAUCCAGCCAUGCCGCGUGAGUGAAGAAGGCCUUCGGGUUGUGAAGCUCUUUCAGCCGGAAAGAAAUCGCGCAGGCUAAUACUCUGCGUGGAUGCCGGUACCGGAAGAAGAAGCACCGGCUAACUACGUGCCAGCAGCCGCGGUAAUACGUAGGGUGCGAGCGCUAAUCGGAAUUACUGGGCGUAAAGCGUGCGCAGGCGGUUAUAUAAGACAGAUGUGAAAUCCCCGGGCUCAACCUGGGAACUGCGUUUGUGGUAGUAUGACUAGAGUACGGCAGAGGGAGGUAGAAUUACGCGUGUAGCAGUGAAAUGCGUAGAUAUGCGGAGGAACACCGAUGACGAAGGCAGCCUCCUGGGCCAGUACUGACGCUCAUGCACGGAAGCGUGGGGAGCAAACA